AAGUACUUCUUUUCUAACAGACUGGCUUCACUAAAAUCACCCGCCACAAUGAAUACGGAAAUUCAGAGAAGCCCGGAUACUAAAAUUAAAAAAGCUUGAAAAGUUGCGAUCUUGCACCCUAGCAUCUGCUUGGUAUUUUCCCGACCAAAAAAGAUCGGACUUUAACCAAUAGACUUUCUGGUAAAUUAUUAAUACAACUGUUACAGUGUUACAGUUCACAGCAGGAUGGAGAGACUCCGGUUCCUGCCUGUCGCCUUGGUCCUCAUGGGGGUGGUGACUGCGGAGAGGGACUGGACAGUCUGUACGGACAGGCCGGCUAACGGGGGGCCACAGAUCCCGGCCCUGCCCAGCGUGUACCAGGCGUAUGUGGACUGUAACAUGGUGGAUCUGGGCUACACGGUUAUGUGUGUUUAUUGAGCUACA